GUCUCUACGUCAAAUGAAACAUGACUGAAUCAUAAAAAUCGAUGUUCACGUUGCUCCAUCGGUCGACAACCCCAGUUGUCAAUUCAUUGACAGAUGGAGCCCAACAAGUUUUGAAAAUGUAGAAAAAAAUCCAUUUCUAAUUAAUCACAGGAGAAAGCCAGGAAAUGUUGAGAAAUACAGCCAUGGGUAAUUGAUGUGUCCCGACCUCGCUGCUCUCCCCGAUAUGCCAGGACGGCAGUUCUAAAAUUAGUCAUGUAUUUAUAAUACGAGGCAUCUUUCACUCGGCAAUCCUUAAGUAUUUGAUCUGUGAUGGCAUCUGUGAUAAACGGUACGAAAAUGCUGAGGGAGAACCUGCAGGAGGGUGACACCGAUGAUAGAGGACAUGCCAAGACUAGGGAAGAAGCUGAGGUGGAAUGGACCCUAGUGCCCAACAUCAUCGGAAGGUGUGCUAGCAACAAACGCAACAUCAACUUAAGCCUGGCAUCGCCUGUAGUCACAGUGGAAGAAGCUGUGCAACACUUCCGAUCUCUGGAUUUGCCUAAGCAAUGUGCCAAAAUUUCAUCAGAUAAAUCAAAACUGGCAGAAUUAGUCUGUUGGCUCAAAUUUCCGCAUCUGAAUGAAGAACUUCACGAAGAAGUUAUCUUGCUCAAUUCGCAAAUGCAGAGUGGGUUGAACUGGUCUGAUAAAGUACAAUUCAGGGCAAUGCAAACCUUAUACAGAAAGCUUUCUGGUGCUAAAAUUGAUUGCCCUCAGAGAGGUUCUCACUGGCAACUCAUAGGAUUUCAGGGGAAUGAUCCUGCAACAGAUUUUCGAGGCGUUGGGUUAUUCGGCCUGUUGCAGUUUCUCUACUUGACUUCGGAAGAUUUGUUGCCUUUGGGCCAUCGGCUGUAUAAAGUUGCUAAUUCAGACACUCAGCCGUUUCCCUUGGCAGUUUUAAGCCUAAACGUGACUAAUAUUGUCUGGAAUAUAUUCAAUUCGGGAAAGUUGAACAGAGAGUGCAAUAAUAGAAAAUCGGUCAUCACAACGCUCAACUCUUUCUACGCAGCUUUAAUGGUUUUUAUAUUUAACAUAUGGAUUACUCAAAAAAAGACAAUAAAAGAUUCAGGAUAUUUACUUAAAGAUGCGGAAAAAUACUGUGGGAAAAAUGUGAAAAAAGUCCUAAAGGACCUGUCAAAAAACUUGCUCAAAUAUGAGAAGUGAUGAUGAUUACCAAGAAAAGCCUCCCCAAGUCGAUUAUGCACAUUGGGUUCAAUGAUUAACACCAAUUUUUUAGCAGUUGAUUUAGAAUAUAUGUGUUUAGGAGGACCACUGUAUGAAGUCAGCUGUCCGUGAGCUGAAGGCGUGAAAACAUGAAUCGGUAUAUGCUGAUUAAAUUCCGUCUCUGCCGCUGCCGCUAUUCUGUCUAUCUCCAUUGUCCUGGCAUCAAUAAGAGCGGCACUUUUGCAUCCGUAACCGCCUCCACCACCGCCUUUGUGCAUCAUUUUGGCUCCUGUGAGCAUCAGUGCGAGCAAGGAAGUCAUGAGGGCUUUCCCUGAUAUAGCGGCAAGAGCCGAGACGCUGACUGCUGCAACGGUUCCUGCCAUCCACAUAGCAUUGUUGUUGUGUCCCUUUCUACGACCUGGAAUGAAAUAUGGCAAUGAACUGUUUACGUCCACUUUUUUUUGGCUAUUCUGUUUAUUUUACAUAAAUACAUUUAGAAAU
rnacentral:misc_RNA from 1 species